rnacentral:rRNA from 1 species
CAGUAGCCGCGGUAAUACGUAGGGUGCAAGCGUUAAUCAGAAUUACUGGGCGUAAAGCGUGCGCAGGCGGUUAUAUAAGUCAGAUGUGAAAUCCCCGGGCUCAACCUGGGAACUGCAUUUGAGACUGUAUGGCUAGAGUGUGUCAGAGGGGGGUAGAAUUCCACGUGUAGCAGUGAAAUGCGUAGAUAUGUGGAGGAAUACUGAUGGCGAAGGCAGCCCCCUGGGAUAACACUGACGCCCAUGCACGAAAGCGUGGGGAGCAAACAGGAUUAGAUACCCCAGUAGUCCCUGUCUCUUAUAC